CUCACCUCCACCAGGAGUUCUCUGUUGGUCAGCAGACGGUUUUCAUCAGGAAAUGUUUCACACAGCGUAUCAAACGUAACCAUGCUGUCCCUGCAAAAACAACAGUGAGCAUAACAGACUGCAUUGGACUGAAGAGCGGACAGGAUUGCCUUGAGAGAGGAAAAGUUCUUCAAACGAUGACAGUCCUGGAGAGAAUCAUAAAGGUUAGAUAUGUUGGCGGAGACAAGUUGAGUGAGAAGAAAAACAUGCAGCCACCUGCGCUACACUGAUCCACUUCUCGAUGAUUCGAGCUCGUUGCGCCGGUGUCGGACCAGAGGUGGCGGACACAGGUCGGCAGAGGAGGGAUAUGAUGACCAGGUUGGUAAUGGCAUUAAACUGUGCGAUGGUGGCCCUGAUGGUCGGAGACAUGUUCUCCUUCUUGUCUCUUUGUGACCAGAUGCAGCCCAAACAUUGCUUACAGAAUCCAUGCGAGUGAGUUGCUCUGCGAUGGCUCUGGCUGAGAAAUCCAGAAUGUCCUCUCGGUCUUGCGAACGCUCACAUUCGGAAUCGUCAUCACCUGAAAGCGGCUCAUGUCGUUGGCUCGUACGUGUCUCAGAAUCUGAUGAAGCAACAGUAAGAUCAAAGAAGUAUUGAACAGAAGUUGGGCUGACAGUGAAGUCGGACGUGCACAGCAGAGCUGAUCCGAAGGUGAUCCAAAAGAAGUUGCAGCCCAGAGUGAAGCGGAGGAUCCCUGAAGUCUUCACUGUAUUCGUCCAACCAUGUCUGGAUGAAGGCUAACAGAGGACUAGGGAAGCAAUGAUUUUAUGAUGAAUGCAAAAAUAGAUUUCAAAAAUCAUAAAUGAAAUAUCCACCUACCUCA